GUGAAUCAUCGAAUCUUUGAACGCAAAUUGCGCCUUUUUCGGAAGGCAUGUCUGUUUGAGGGACCCAUUUAACAAAUAAUGUGCAGCGUUUUUUGUUGCACACGUUGAUGAGCUUUCCACGGAUUUUAAAUUUUUGGUUGCGCAUAAUGAACAGCGUGAAAGAUUUUUUCAGUUGGAGGGUAGUCA
rnacentral:misc_RNA from 1 species